rnacentral:misc_RNA from 1 species
CUUGGUCGUUUGCCCCCCCCCGCCUCCGAGAGGUUCUCUGGCUGUACGAUACCUUCCUCAUUAUCAGACACAGGCACACGGGCCAGAUCCUUUGGCACGUAUGCGUUGUCUUUUUUCUGCUUUUGUUGGUCCCUUGAAUCCUUUCCACUCUGGCUCUCGCUGUGAUCGCCUUCGCUGCGGGCCCACCCGAGUCUUUGAAAAGCAUUGUCUGUCGCGUUGAUCUGUUUAGAUCGCCUCGCAAACGCGCAAGCGCCGCCUUACGCGCCAUACCACGGUGAGUGCGUGCGUGUUCGGCUGGGCGCUCGAUCACCUCUGUGCUGCCUGGUGGUGUUGGGGUGCCCCCAGCCUGCCGUGCGCGCUCGGGAUCCCUGGCAUUCACGAUUUCUUCCUUUAGAAAAGGAAAGUCUUACUCCGGUAUUCCUUCGUUCCUCCAUCUUUUGUUUUUCCCGUCGCUGGUCGUCCGCGCCAACUUGUGGCUGAGGCUGCAGCAGGUGAUCCUUCUUAUCUGGCUGAUCCCGAUUCCGCUUCUCUCUUCUCCAUCCGUGUGAAACUUCAG